CCGAGCACGCGCGUGUGGCAUAUCAAUAAGCGGAGGAAAAGAAACUAACAAGGAUUCCCUUAGUAACGGCGAGUGAAGCGGGAAGAGCUCAAAUUUGAAAUCUUCAAGGUUCUACCUUGACGAAUUGUAGUUUAUAGAAGUGUUUUCUGUUAGUGGAGUGGCAAAAGUUCUUUGGAAUAGGACAUCAUAGAGGGUGAGAAUCCCGUAUUUGGUCAUUCCUCCUAGCGUUGUGAUACACUUUCAACGAGUCGGAUUGUUUGGGAAUGCAGUCCAAAAUGGGUGGUAAAUUUCAUCUAAAGCUAAAUAUUGGCGAGAGACCGAUAGCGAACAAGUACCGUGAGGGAGAGAUGAAAAGAACUUUGAAAAGAGAGUUAAACAGUACGUGAAAUUGUCAAAAGGGAAGCGUUUGACACCAGUGUUGUUUUUCCGAAAAUCAAUUACGAAUGUUUUGUUUUUGAGGAGUUAUAACUUCAUCGGCUUGCUCCUUUCUUUAUGAAACUUUCUUAAUGCACUUUUCGGUUAACAAGUCAACAUCAAUUUCUUUUGUUGUAAAAGGGUAUGAGGAAGGUGGCUUUCACUUCGGUGAAAGUGUUUAUAGCCUUUGGCUUCUACAAUCGGAGAGAUUGAGGUCUGCAGCGUAGAUCCUUCGGGGUUAGAUACGUAGAUGCUAAGUUAUAGUUUUUUAUAGACAACUUGUUGACUAUGAUUGAUCAUGUAGCUUACUCGUUUACGCUAUUUUACCUACGCUUAGGAUGUUGAGUAGCGACAUACGCAC
rnacentral:rRNA from 1 species